CCCGCACAAACGGUGGAGUAUGUGGUUUAAUUCGAUGCAACGCGAAGAACCUUACCUGGUCUUGACAUCCCGGAGACCCUUAGGAAACUAGGGGUGCUUCCAUCUGGAAGAAUCUGGAGACAGGUGCUGCAUGGCUGUCGUCAGCUCGUGUCGUGAGAUGUUGGGUUAAGUCCCGCAACGAGCGCAACCCUUGCCUUUAGUUGCCAGCAGUUCGGCUGGGCACUCUAAAGGGACUGCCGGUGUUAAACCGGAGGAAGUGGGGAUGACGUCAAGUCCUCAUGGCCUUUAUGACCAGGGCUACACACGUACUACAAUGGCCGAUACAAAGGGCAGCGACACUGCGAGGUGAAGCCAAUCCCGUAAAAUCGGUCUCAGUCCGGAUUGGAGUCUGCAACUCGACUCCAUGAAGUUGGAAUCGCUAGUAAUCGUGGAUCAGCAUGCCACGGUGAAUACGUUCCCGGGCCUU
rnacentral:rRNA from 1 species